rnacentral:rRNA from 1 species
ACACGGAGGGUGCGAGCGUUGUUCGGAAUCACUGGGCGUAAAGCGGGUGUAGGCGGUCUAGCAAGUCAGAUGUGAAAGUCCAGGGCUCAACCCUGGAAGUGCAUCUGAAACUGUUAGACUUGAGUACUGGAGAGGGAAGUGGAAUUCCUGGUGUAGGGGUGAAAUCCGUAGAUAUCAGGAGGAACACCGGUGGCGAAGGCGACUUCCUGGACAGAUACUGACGCUCAGACCCGAAAGCGUGGGGAGCGAACAGGAUUAGAAACCCUAGUAGUCC